AACGAACGCUGGCGGCAUGCCUAAUACAUGCAAGUCGAACGAGAUCUUCGGAUCUAGUGGCGCACGGGUGCGUAACGCGUGGGAAUCUACCCUUGGGUUCGGAAUAACAGUUAGAAAUGACUGCUAAUACCGGAUGAUGACGUAAGUCCAAAGAUUUAUCGCCCAGGGAUGAGCCCGCGUAGGAUUAGCUAGUUGGUGAG
rnacentral:rRNA from 1 species